rnacentral:piRNA from 1 species
UAAGAGCACUGACUGUUCUUCUUGAGGUCC